UUCACGAAACUUCUCCAUUUUUUCUUUCAGUCUUUGAAUGAAUACAACGUUGUCCGGUUGGAAUAUUAUCGCUAUUUUAUGAGAAAAAUAGCAUAAAAAUAGAUUUUAAACAGCGUUUGACAUGCUUCUAAGUACGGUAAUGGAAUAUUUUGAAAUUUGUUGUCACGAAAUGCGCUCGCGCAUUACCCUUCGGAUAGUGACCUGAACGCACGAACAAAACGGAGGUAUUUGGAUAUAACUAUGGAUUAUUUGGAACCAAAACAACAAGUAUGGAUUGAUGCAUAUUUAUUGUGAUCAUUCAUGAUGUUACUCACUUGACCGUGAAAUCAUCUGCUGCCAGCUUGGCGUUGUCAAUGCUGAGGUAGAUUCCACCGUUGAUGCGUGUGGCAUCCUGGAUCUGAAAGAGAAAAUUACGUUUUGGAGUUGAACAGUUUUAUUUGGAGCGAAUGGAUGAAUGGAGCUAUAAACUUGAUCUGAUUUUGAGGCAGUUUUGGGUAUGUUAGUGUGUCUGACAAUGGACCAGUGAUCAAUUACCCUGGGAUACAUACACUGCGUUAACAGUGCACAAAAAUGGAAUUCAUUAAAUUAAAGCUACAGGUAAGAACAUCAAUGCGGUAAUGGGCAUGAACUAGAUUUAUGAUAUUGUCCUUGACAUUAUCAGGUUACUGGUGAAGGCUUACUAAGCAGUGGUGUUUAUCUUGUGCCUGGGAGUAACAGGCACUCCCCUACCUCUUCCACAAUAGUAAGGUAACAGCUAUCAGUGGCCGUAAAACCCAGCCUUUAUAAACAAGUUGUAAAAGUAGUCAUAAUGAUGUAGUGUAGUUGUAAACAAGUUGACUGACAUCCCUUGUCUUGGAGUUCAGUGAUGGAGAGAUGAAAGGCACUGUAGUCACGACCAGUGGGGGAGGACUUGGCCUCCAGGAACAUGCGGAUCUUGUGCUAAAGAUCAGCAUUGGUAUUCUCCAGGGAGCGGACCUUGUCCAGAUAAGUGGCCAGACGGUCGUUCAGGUUCUGCAUGGUGGCCUUCUCGUUGGCAGACACGUGCAGGUCCAGGCCAUCAGACAGGGUGAAGCCACAUCCAUCACCACCCAUGCCAAAACCACCGCCAGCAGAGAAGGACCUGGAUGCACUGGAACUGGAGAUGCAGACCCAAGAGCGGUUGGAAAAUCUUUCCUCAACCGAGCUGUUUGACACCUGAUCCAACUGGCCCCCACUGCAAUGUUGGCUUUGGUUAGUCCAGAAGUCAAAUGUAGCAGAUAGUGGAUUUCGUCAAUUGCCAAAUGCCAAAACCACCGCCAGCAGAGAAGGACUUGGAUGCACUGGAACUAGAGAUGCGGACCCCAGAACCACCUGCACCCCCAUACAUGCUGCAUGCCCUCAUGCCACUGAUGCGGCUACCACCUCCCAUGCUUCCCCCUCCAGACAUGGAGAUGUGAGAGGACAUGAAGGUGCUGCUGGAGAAGGACAUGUUGAUUGAGUCUGCUGUCUUACUGCUAUAACUGGAGAGGAGUUAGUUAAUAGUGCAGGAGAAGGGCUGGUUGUUUUAUACAACUUCACAGGAGGGGGUUAGAGCUGGGAGGAAAAGAUAAUGAAAGGAAUGGGAGGAAACACUUCCCCUAAGUCUUCUAUUUAAGUCAUACAUGCGCACACACGGGCAUGACAGACUCAAUCUCUCAAUUGCUUGUUGAUGUGUCAAAGGGCAGCAAGUUCUGAGAUGUAAUUUCUUAUCAAUCAUCAUUUAUUUUAGCUCGUCGUUGAAUAUCAGUCUGCAGAGCACAUGCUUGAUGUACUGUCAGGAUUAAAUCACACUAAAAGAUUGAAAGUCCAUGUUUAAUAUAAUUUUACUUUAAACACAUUUUAGAACAUAGAACAAAUCGUGUAGUGGAGACUGCUCCUUAGUUAAAGAGUAACUUUACCCCCUGAUUACACACUCAUACGUCUUACCUAGGGUCCAAGCUGUGUCCGUAUGACACUAAUGGUGAGAAGUAUGUGUGAACUGGCUAAAGAUAGCUGAUUGAGUCAAGGCCAUCUCCAUGCAAACUUUUCAAAUCAAAUCAAAUUUCAUUAGUCACAUGCGCCAAAUACAACAGGUGUAGACCUUACAGUGAAAUGAUCUUAAAAAAUGGUUUAUUCAUCAAUGAAUGUAAUUAAUAAUUAGGCUACCUAUGCAUGAUUUGAGAAAAAGCCUAACUCCCAGUAGCAUUUGUUUGCUUUUGAUGCAGGCACGUAAAUAUGUUAUUUACCGGUACAUGCCAUCCUUUACCUAUCUUACCCUAUUGAAUGGUUUCCAUUGUGCCCUGCUUUUGAGCAAGCUACAGUAAAACAUUAAGAAUCCAUAAAAUUGGUAUCAAAAAAUACUUUGAUGUUAGUCACCACAAGAUCCAGUAAUUUGUGACCAACCGGCCUAAAUUUGUCUUAUGUAGCAAAAUUUGAAAUUGCGUUUUUUACAGUGGAUAAAAGUAGAGACUCAGAGCUACAAAAUGGUAUAUCAUACACUUCCUUUUGGAGGAACAAUGUGAAAGUAAUUCUUCUUUGAAAGUUGAUAAACUUGUAGACUCACUUUUAGUCUCUUUGAUCAUGGAAUAUUCAUUACUUUCUUAUGCACAUUGAUUUUACCCAUAUCUCAUUCACGGUUUCAUCUGAUGAGUUUCUUUCUGCUUGUGCAGAAACCUGUCUAACCUGUGGCCACGCAUAGUUGGUCGCCAGCCCCAUACAGGCCUCUUAAUUUAUCAUCCGCAGUAGAGGUCGUUUAAGCAAACCCUCUCUAAAUGUUAUGUGUAAAUAAAAUCUCUUUUACAAUUCGUCCAGCAGGAUCCCUCUCAGCCAAAGAAUUGUCACUUUGUCCUACUGAAACAAUCUUUUCUCUGUCUUCUCUCUCUAAGGUUCAUCUGCCGCUGCAUCUUGCAGCUUUAUCAUGGCUAACAUUUAAUGAGUCUGAUGGUAACUGACUGUAGAACAGUGCAAACACCAAACUCAAAUUUUCCCUACUAACUGCAAUUGGACUAUAAGCUCUAUACUCCGUCAUACCGUAAAUGCAUUCAGUAUGUUACAUAAUUCACCACCAUGUAUUUACUUAGUCCUUCAUUGUUUUGGUUGUGUAUUGUAUUGUCUAUGUGUUGUAUGUGUCACAGCAAUGCAUCUCUCCUGUCACCUGGCUGGGUCGCUGCAUGUUUGAAUGUACUUAGUGCACUUAGUGAUAGAGGCAUUUUUCCACCACUGGUUGCUGAAUUGAUUGUUAAGUUGGUUUAAGGUGUUUUUGACUUGUUGUAAGAUUGGAAAAAGUCAACAAGAGUGCACAAUGCAAUGUGUGGUAUAUAGCACUUGAAAAAAAUCAUAAGGCAAAAAGUAAGAUCAAACAAAAUGUAACAAUAGUUGUUAUCCAGAAAUCCCUUCAGUCACUAUCAGUAACUCUGUUUCCUAGUAACACAAAUCUGCCUUUCUAACCUUUAAAUCUUGUGGGUUAAACAUUGACAUGCCACACUCAUGUGUCAAUACCUGGCCCUCAGAGAAUGAAAAAAUCUAUUGGUUGAAAAGACUAACCAAUCUCAAGUCUUGGUUCUUAACCUAUAUCAACAUUAAAACAGUACGAACAGUGCAAGGCACCUGGCCCUGUCAGAAACUA